rnacentral:tRNA from 1 species
UGCACCGUAGCUUAGUUGGAAAAGCACUUGUCUAGCGAAUAAGGGUCGUGAGUUCAAAUCUCACCUGAGCUG